ensembl:lncRNA novel transcript, antisense to ELP4
UCAGCCUUAGAUAGAAAGCUUUUCUAUGAAUAAUGGGAAAUAAAGUUAAAGGAAAUGAUGCAAAUAAAGCAAGAAAAAAAUACUGAUGAUCAGAAAAAAGAAAAGUAUUUGAGGUCUGAAAGAUCCUCAAAAUAGAGAAGAGCCAAUGACUUCAUACACCGAAUCGGCUAAAUCCUGUCUCACAUUUUCACUGUAGCCAGAAGAGCCACUCUGGUCAAGUAGAAACCCUGAAGUUUGCCGUCAUUUCAUCCAGGGUCUGCAGGAUAAACUCAACUGGGAAGAGUACUCCUGUCAUGGACCCUCAGAUGAACAAGCAUUUAUAAAGGCUACUGACAAUAUUUCUUAAUCAAAAGGCUGAAAGAGAGGUUCUCAGAAGACCACGGAGAACAUAGAGGAACUUGGUAAGGCUGUGACUGUUGCCACCAUUUUCUGCACAGCAAAUAUCGUCUCCCCAUAAAGAAAUUCAGCAAAAUUUCUGGGCAAAAGAAGAAGGCGUUAACAAAACCUGGCAUGUGCAAAUAAUUGAAAAUUCAUUAUUAGAAUUGAUGGGAAAAAAUUUAUUGACCAUGGAAAGGAAGAAAAAUGAAUACAACACUGAAAUGUUAGAAGAUGAAAGCCUAAAGGAACAUAAGCUAGUAAAUGAAUAAGAGAGAAUUACAGUCAGGACUAUGUAACUAAGAAGAUGUAUGAUUCUGGACAAGACACACACAUUACUUAGGACUUUGUUUUCUCUUUCUUUCUUUUUUCUUUUUUUUUGAGACAGUGUCUUUCUCUGUUACCCAGAUGCAGUGCAGUGGCCUUACUAUAGCUUAUGGUAGUCUCGAACUCCUGGGCUCAAGUGAUCUUCCCACCUCUGCCUCCAGAGUAGCUGGGACUACGUGCAUGUGCCACCAGAUCUAGCUAAUUUUUCUUUUAUUGUUUUUGUAGAGACAGGGUCUUGCUAUGUUGCCUAGGCUGACCUUGAACUGCUGGACUAAAGCAAUCCUCCUGCCUCAGCCUCUCAAAGUAUUUGGAUUACA